AACGACUCUCGGCAACGGAUAUCUCGGCUCUCGCAUCGAUGAAGAACGUAGCGAAAUGCGAUACUUGGUGUGAAUUGCAGAAUCCCGUGAACCAUCGAGUCUUUGAACGCAAGUUGCGCCCGAAGCCAUCAGGCCGAGGGCACGUC
rnacentral:rRNA from 1 species